GGGGGUGUCCUGGCUUCGACGGGGGUGGCGAAAUCGACCGGUGCAUGCCGAGGGGGCAGCUUUCCUCGUUAAUCCAGCGGCAAACAAUCAGACGCCAACGACGACGUCUACGCUCUGGCCGCUUAAGGCCUAGCCCCGAACCGACUUGUGCCCGUGCUCGUCGGUGUAGGGUCAUGAUCACGGGAUCGGCAUCGGUGGCGACCCGUCAGCAGAUGCCUAAAUCAAAGCGGGUGUGGGUCAGGGUGUGCCUCGCACGUUGUGUUGCCCUGCUCCGAGACCAAACAACGAGCUAAGCAUGUAGUGCCGGAGAUGGAGUGCCUUCGGACGGGGGUUCAACUCCCCCCACCUCCACCA
rnacentral:tmRNA from 1 species